rnacentral:sRNA from 1 species
CAACAAUCGAAAGGAGGUGAUCCAGUGUCUCAUUGUCAUCCGUCGCUCUCGUCGGCUUACAGGUCCUGGGUCCUUGCCUCUGCGGAGACCUACGCUUCGUAAUACGACGCCGAGCUUUCCGCUCGGAUUGCGGCCAGACAAUGGAAGGGUCGUUCCCCGGAACGACCCU